rnacentral:rRNA from 1 species
UAGGGAAUCUUCCACAAUGGACGCAAGUCUGAUGGAGCAACGCCGCGUGAGUGAAGAAGGCUUUCGGGUCGUAAAACUCUGUUAUUGAAGAAGAACGUGCGUGACAGUAACUGGUCAUGCAGUGACGGUAUUCAAUCAGAAAGUCACGGCUAACUACGUGCCAGCAGCCGCGGUAAUACGUAGGUGGCAAGCGUUGUCCGGAUUUAUUGGGCGUAAAGCGAGUGCAGGCGGUCUUUUAAGUCUGAUGUGAAAGCCUUCGGCUUAACCGAAGAAGGGCAUCGGAAACUGGGAGACUUGAGUGCAGAAGAGGAGAGUGGAACUCCAUGUGUAGCGGUGAAAUGCGUAGAUAUAUGGAAGAACACCAGUGGCGAAGGCGGCUCUCUGGUCUGUAACUGACGCUGAGGCUCGAAAGCGUGGGUAGCAAACAGGNUUNGAUACCCUGGUAGU